rnacentral:misc_RNA from 1 species
UCUCCGUAGGUGAACCUGCGGAGGGAUCAUUACAGAGUUCAUGCCCUAACGGGUAGAUCUCCCACCCUAUGUUAUCAUCACUUUGUUGCUUUGGCGGGCCGUCAGGCCUCGGCUUGGCUACCGGCUCUCGCUGGUAAGCGCCCGCCAGAGAACCCCAAACCCUGAAUAUCAGUGCCGUCUGAGUACUAUAUAAUAGUUAAAACUUUCAACAACGGAUCUCUUGGUUCUG